UACGUAGGGUGCGAGCGUUGUCCGGAAUUACUGGGCGUAAAGAGCUCGUAGGUGGUUUGUCGCGUUGUUCGUGAAAACUCACAGCUCAACUGUGGGCGUGCGGGCGAUACGGGCAGACUAGAGUACUGCAGGGGAGACUGGAAUUCCUGGUGUAGCGGUGGUAUGCGCAGAUAUCAGGAGGAACACCGGUGGCGAAGGCGGCUACCUGGCCUAAGACUGACGCUGAGGUGCGAAAGCGUGGGGAGCGAACGGG
rnacentral:rRNA from 1 species